rnacentral:rRNA from 1 species
UACAGAGGUCUCAAGCGUUGUUCGGAUUCAUUGGGCGUAAAGGGUGCGUAGGCGGUAGGGUAAGUCUGGUGUGAAAUCCUGGAGCUUAACUUCAGAAAUGCACUGGAUACUGCCCUGCUAGAGGACUGGAGAGGAGAUUGGAAUUCACGGUGUAGCAGUGAAAUGCGUAGAUAUCGUGAGGAAGACCAGUGGCGUAAGCGAAGCUCUGGACAGUUCCUGACGCUGAGGCACGAAGGCCAGGGGAGCAAACGGG